GGACUACCAGGGUUUCUAAUCCUGUUUGCUCCCCUAGCUUUCGUCUCUCAGCGUCAGUUGUGGUCCAGUGAGCCGCCUUCGCCUCUGGUGUUCCUGCAGAUAUCUACGCAUUUCACCGCUACACCUGCAAUUCCACUCACCUCUCCCACACUCGAGCACGGCAGUUUCGAAAGCAGCCUCGGAGUUAAGCCCCGAGAUUUCACUUCCGACUUGCCGCACCGCCUACAGACUCUUUACGCCCAGUAAUUCCGAGCAACGCUGGCCCCCUACGUCUUACCGCGGCUGCUGGCAC
rnacentral:rRNA from 1 species